rnacentral:rRNA from 1 species
GACGAACGCUGGCGGCGUGCUUAACACAUGCAAGUCGAACGGAAAGGCCUUUUUCGGGGGGUGCUCGAGUGGCGAACGGGUGAGUAACACGUGAGUAACCUGCUCUUGACUUUGGGAUACCUUCAGAAAACUGGGGUUAUUACCCGUUAGUAGCUCCUGCUGCAUGGUGGGGGUUUGAAAGUUUCGGCUGUUGGGGAUGGCCUGGCGGCUUAUACGCUUUUUGGUGGGGUAGUGGUUUACCAAGGCUUUGCCGGGUAGCCGGCCUGAGGGGGUGAGCGGCGACACUGGGACUGAGAGACGGCCCAGACUCCGACGGGAGGAAGCAGGGGGGAAUAUUGCACAAUGGGUGGAAGCCUGAUGCAGCAACGCCGUGGGCGGGAUGACGGCCUUAGGGUUGUAAAACGCUUUCGAGCAUGAAGAAGCUUUGUGUGACGGUAGUAGGUAAAGAAGCACCGGCUAACUACGUG